GACAGGUACCUGUAAUCCCAGCUACUCAGGAGGCUAAGGCAGGAGAAUUGCUUGAACCCCAGAGAAGCAGGUUGCAGUGAGUGGAGAUCACGCUACUGCUUCAGCCUGGGCGACAGGGCGAGACCCGUCUCAAAACAAACAAACAAACAAACAAAACCACACAAAAGGAUAGGAAAUACUUAAGUGUCAUGGCAGAGAAAGAAUAUAAAGCAUUGAAGGAAGAAAGAGAACUUCUUGCAGGAAAAGCCCCUUGAUUAACUCAAGUCUUACCCCCUUCUUUAACUCUUUCUUGACAAUAAUAUCUUAAUCUCUCCCAACAGUUUAUGUAGCACCUUAUUUUCUUCAUCUGCAAAAUGGGGGGCAUAACACCACCCACUUCCAAGUAGGGCCAAAUAAGAUAAUGCACAUACCCCUUUAUAUAGUACUGGGAAAAUAGUAAGUAUUCAUGAAGAUUAGCUAUUAAUCGCCAUUACAGGACUUGGAUAUACUUCCUGAUUUCUUUUGCCCAGGAUGGAAAUGGCAGGAUCCCUACUUACUGCAACCUCCACCUCCCAGGUUCAAGCAAUUCUCCUGCCUCAGCCUCCCAAGUAGCUGGGAUUACA
rnacentral:lncRNA from 1 species